rnacentral:rRNA from 1 species
GACGGACGCUGGCGGCGUGCCUAAUACAUGCAAGUAGAACGCUGAAGGAGGAGCUUGCUCUUCUGGAUGAGUUGCGAACGGGUGAGUAACGCGUAGGUAACCUGCCUGGUAGCGGGGGAUAACUAUUGGAAACGAUAGCUAAUACCGCAUAACAGUAGAUGUUGCAUGACAUUUACUUAAAAGGUGCAAUUGCAUCACUACCAGAUGGACCUGCGUUGUAUUAGCUAGUUGGUGGGGUAACGGCUCACCAAGGCGACGAUACAUAGCCGACCUGAGAGGGUGAUCGGCCACACUGGGACUGAGACACGGCCCAGACUCCUACGGGAGGCAGCAGUAGGGAAUCUUCGGCAAUGGACGGAAGUCUGACCGAGCAACGCCGCGUGAGUGAAGAAGGUUUUCGGAUCGUAAAGCUCUGUUGUAAGAGAAGAACGAGUGUGAGAGUGGAAAGUUCACACUGUGACGGUAUCUUACCAGAAAGAGACGGCUAACUACGUG